rnacentral:rRNA from 1 species
ACUCCUACGGGAGGGCAGCAGUAGGGGAAGUCUUCCACAAUGGGCGCAAGCCUGAUGGAGCAACACCGCGUGAGUGAAGAAGGGUUUCGGCUCGUAAAGCUCUGUUGUUAAAGAAGAACACGUAUGAGAGUAACUGUUCAUACGUUGACGGUAUUUAACCAGAAAGUCACGGUUAACUACGUGCCAGCAGCCGCGGUAAUACGUAGGUGGGCAAGCGUUAUCCGGAUUUAUUGGGCGUAAAGAGAGUGCAGGCGGUUUCUAGGUCUGAUGUGAAAGCCUUCGGCUUAACCGGAGAAGUGCAUCGGAAACUGGAUAACUUGAGUGCAGAAGAGGGUAGUGGAACUCCAUGUGUAGCGGUGGAAUGCGUAGAUAUAUGGAAGAACACCAGUGGCGAAGGCGGCUACCUGGUCUGCAACUGACGCUGAGACUCGAAAGCAUGGGUAGCGAACAGGAUUAGAUACCCUGGUAGGAUAGCG